UAACCGCUACAACGAUUGUUGUACGAUAUUUCCUUUUCAAUGAAACUUUCUUAUGAUGGUAGCGUAUAAACACUCGUUUGAAGUGUGAUUGCACUUAUAAAUGCACAAAACGGCCUCAACCCAUCGUCCGUAACCGACCGACGAUACUGACGUCAACGCUGGUCAAUUUACAGCUGAUGAAAUACAUUUUCUGUUAGUUCAAUCUAAUUCUAUAAUCUUUUCCAAUCCUUUUCCAGUGCGCCGCUGCUUGUUGCUUGCGUCAUUGCUAAUUCGCUUUCUCCUCUUCAUUCGCAUUUUGGCUACUUGGCGGAUAUAAUCAGGUUAACAUCGCCCUCUCACUUUACAUGCCUCCGUUUUUCGGUUUGCAGUGUUUGUUUGUUUGUUUGUUUGGUAUUUGAUCGUUGCCCCUUCAUGAUCGGUUUUCGUUUUCAAAGAUUUGCACAAAAAGGUGAUUGGGAAACGUUUAGUAUAACAAAGUUAUUGACUUGCGACUGUUUUCCUUCGAUUUUUGUUGCUUUAAGUAAUUUAUUUAUUAUUUACUCAUUUAUUACUUACUUCAUUUCAUCACCACCAGUGAUGGUUGUGUUCUUUUACUUUAAGAGUUGUUUUGUUUUGCUUCAAUUAUGAGCUAUCGUGCCAACCAAAGAAUUAGUACACAAACGCACCCAAUACAAACCCGAAAACAAAUAACGAAAUCGUUGGCGAUACAACGGGGAACCGUAUCGGUUGAUAACGCGUUUCUUUUUUUGGGCAAACCAGUGCUAGUAGACGAAAACCCCGUCUUGCUGUCAAUCCGGGCCUAUGGGAGCAAUAAGAUAGGCAUGGGCCUCAUGGCUGCUACGGCUGAAAUUGUGCUGGGGCUUAUCGCAACACGGAACAAUGUAAAUGUGUCCCACGGUUGCCAUUUGUGACUGAAUCGUUUACCAUCCCAUGACAACGCUCUCUAUUUUUAACGCGAUAACGGCCUGUGUUUGCAAACAUUCUGGUCGGGUGCUAUGUUUCUCGCCGUGGAUUAGGUUUAUUACACUUCUGGCCAAGAAAAGCGGAACACACACACAGCUACUGCCAGCAUAAUGACUCUGCCCAGUCCCGAUCACAGCAUAAGAGCUCUUGAUGUACUCGACACCCCGAUCCAGUGUGCAAGCCGUGCCCACAUUACAGUUGGCUGAUCCCGUCAUCACCCGUUACAACUCUCUGGUGCUUUUUUUUUCGUUUGUGUGUGCUUCCUUCUCGCAUCGGUCAUUAAGUUGUUACGCUUGCGAUAAAGGCCAUAAGUCCCACUGGCGGCUCGCUCCCAUCUCCUCCCCGUACAAGCUCCAAUCAAAUGCCACUUGAUGGGCCAAACUCAACACUGUGCUGUGCAGCUCGAAACUUUGCGGCGCAGCAUGUAGCGGCCACACCAUUGACGUCAUUCCGCCACCGCGCACGGAAUCAGCGCUCAAGGAGAGACGGAUCAGACGGUGAAGCGGAGGCCGCCCCGAAGAAGUAAAUCGUUUGGAACCGCGAAUCACCGUGCUGCUCGGUAGCGGACGCUGCUCACCAAGCUCAUGAGCCCCCGCUGUACGAGCUUCUCACUUUCGUUGCAACAUUAUAGCGCGAUGCUCACACACAUACACAUGCUUUUACGGCUCAUUCUACCUUUUUGCUAUUGAAGAACACGGCGGGGCCAUUAGUGCCGGAAUAAAUACACCAAAAACGGAACAGGCCGUUCUAGGGCCCGUCGCCUCACGCGGGUGCUGCUACUUGUUCCGUCGCUCGUGGACCGCCUGUCCAAAUAUUAUGACACUA